AGGUACCACGUUCAAAAACUUUAAAAAUCACUGGGGAAAAGCUCUUUCCGAAUUGCGAGCAGCAAUGCUGUGCUUAAAACUAUUUCCUAAAGGAAUGAUGCUACAAUAUCUGACACGUUUGCGAAGGAACCGCUGACCUGGCGAUGGGUUGGUUCACGAUUAUGGCGCGAUGCCAAUCGGCAUCGCGCCAUGCUUGCAACCAGGGAGCCUUGUUACAGGAAACGAUAUGACAUUUGCCUGCAUAUAGAGCGGAGAGGAGUCGUUCCUCCCCUUGCGUCUUUGACUUUUAUGGCCAGGCUAUGAUUAAGGGUGCAUUUCCAGUGCGGAUAAGGCCAGGGAUUAGGGCACGGAAGUCCUUGGUACGAGCUUACCACAUAGUUCUGUUCCAGAAGGGAACCAAAGGUUGGAAAGGCGAGGUAAGUGUGCCAACAACUUAGCCGUUUAUCUCAAC
rnacentral:lncRNA from 1 species